UGGGGAAUAUUGCACAAUGGGCGAAAGCCUGAUGCAGCAACGCCGCGUGAGUGAUGAAGGUCUUCGGAUUGUAAAGCUCUGUCUUUUGGGACGAUAAUGACGGUACCAAAGGAGGAAGCCACGGCUAACUACGUGCCAGCACCGCGGUAAUACGUAGGUGGCGAGCGUUGUCCGGAUUUACUGGGCGUAAAGGGUGCGUAGGCGGAUGUUUAAGUGAGAUGUGAAAUACCCGGGCUUAACUUGGGUGCUGCAUUUCAAACUGGAUAUCUAGAGUGCAGGAGAGGAGAAUGGAAUUCCUAGUGUAGCGGUGAAAUGCGUAGAGAUUAGGAAGAACACCAGUGGCGAAGGCGAUUCUCUGGACUGUAACUGACGCUGAGGCACGAAAGCGUGGGUAGCAAACAGGAUUAGAUACCCUGGUAGUCCACGCCGUAAACGAUGAGUACUAGGUGUAGGAGGUAUCGACCCCUUCUGUGCCGCAGUAAACACAUUAAGUACUCCGCCUGGGAAGUACGAUCGCAAGAUUAAAAC
rnacentral:rRNA from 1 species